GAAACUGCGAAUGGCUCCAUUAAAUCAGUAUCGUUUAUUUGAUAGUACCUUACUACCUGGAUAACCGUGGUAAUUCUAGAGCUAAUACAUGCUGAAAGCCCCGACUCCGGGAGGGGCGUAUUUAUUAGAUAAAAAACCAAUGCCUUCGGGGCUCCUUGGUGAUUCAUGAUAACUAAACGAAUCGCAUGGCCUUGCGCCGGGCGAUGGUUCAUUCAAAUUUCUGCCCUAUCAACUUUCGAUGGUAGGAUAGUGGCCUACCAUGGUAUCAACGGGUAACGGGGAAUUAGGGUUCGACUCCGGAGAGGGAGCCUGAGAAACGGCUACCACAUCCAAGGAAGGCAGCAGGCGCGCAAAUUACCCAAUCCCGACACGGGGAGGUAGUGACAAUAAAUACUGAUACAGGGCUCUUUUGGGUCUUGUAAUUGGAAUGAGUACAAUUUAAAUCCCUUAACGAGGAACAAUUGGAGGGCAAGUCUGGUGCCAGCAGCCGCGGUAAUUCCAGCUCCAAUAGCGUAUAUUAAAGUUGUUGCAGUUAAAAAGCUCGUAGUUGAACCUUGGGCCUGGCUGGCCGGUCCGCCUCACCGCGUGCACUGGUCCGGCCGGGCCUUUCCUCCUGGGGAGCCGCAUGCCCUUCGCUGGGCGUGCCGGGGAACCAGGACUUUUACUUUGAAAAAAUUAGAGUGUUCAAAGCAGGCCUUUGCUCGGAUACAUUAGCAUGGAAUAAUAGAAUAGGACGUGCGGUUCUAUUUUGUUGGUUUCUAGGACCGCCGUAAUGAUUAAUAGGGACAGUCGGGGGCAUCAGUAUUCAAUUGUCAGAGGUGAAAUUCUUGGAUCAAUUGAAGACUAACUACUGCGAAAGCAUUUGCCAAGGAUGUUUUCAUUAAUCAGUGAACGAAAGUUAGGGGAUCGAAGACGAUCAGAUACCGUCGUAGUCUUAACCGUAAACUAUGCGACUAGGGAUCGGGCGGUGUUUAUCAUUUUGACCCGCUCGCACUUACGAGAAAUCAAGUUUUGGGUUCUG
rnacentral:rRNA from 1 species